UGCGCUUCGGCGCAGCCGACCGCCGUGAAGCUGUCUUUUCACUCCUCCUGUUGCGCUUUGUUUUGCGGGCGAGGGACGUUGUCGGUUGUCUGUUUGGUUCUACCCUCGAGGGGGAUGACAUUAUUGUUUCAUGAUGGAUUUUCGCUUGCCCCGUCGGUAUUUUUUUAUCGUUGGUGCAGCCGAUUUGUUGGCUAAAUACUUGAGCUGCAGUGGGUGUACGCACCUGUACUCGGCACUCGAAUUUUGCUGGCUCUCGCGGAUGCAGUGUCCAUCGGGGAAUUCGUUGGGCCUCUGGUCCUCGGAUUUCCUCGGGAGGUCCCUUGCACGGAUCAUUGCUCUGCCGCUCUGCUCUCGUUGUCCCGGUUGCUGGGAUGUCGUGGCGGCGCGUGCGGGGUGUGCUCCUGUGCAUGCGAGAUGUUUUGCCCGAUCGAAUGAGCGACUGCCGGUUUACGUCUUGUGCGUGGACUCCUAUUUAUUUAGGGUUUGCCGCAAUGAUGUGUCGGCGCUCGUUUAAAACGUGCUACCUGGUUGAUCCUGCCAGUA
rnacentral:misc_RNA from 1 species